AUUGAACGCUGGCGGCCUGCCUAACACAUGCAAGUCGAACGAGUGGCGGACGGGUGAGUAAUGUCUGGGAAACUGCCUGAUGGAGGGGGAUAACUACUGGAAACGGUAGCUAAUACCGCAUACCAUCAGAUGUGCCCAGAUGGGAUUAGCUUGUAGGUGGGUUAAUGGCUCACCUAGGCGACGAUCCCUAGCUGGUCUGAGUGGAUGACCAGCCACACUGGAACUGAGAGACGGUCCAGACUCCUACGGGAGGCAGCAGUGGGGAAUAGUGCGCAAUGGGCGCAAGCCUGAUGCAGCCAUGCCGCGUGUGUGAAGAAGGCCUUCGGGUUGUAAAGCACUUUCAGCGAGGAGGCGUUACUCGCAGAAGAAGCACCGGCUAACUCCGUGCCAGCCGCCGCGGUAAUUC
rnacentral:rRNA from 1 species